CUCAGAAGAAAUUUUACAAAAUCAAGAGAGAUUUCAAGUCCCCAGAUGAAAUAAAUAAAUGAGGAUGCCAGAUGUUCCAAAAUUCAUAAACAAGGGUAUGAAAAAGAUCCCAUUUUGGAACUAAAGAAAGAGGAAUCAGGGGGAAAGUUUUGAAGAGAUCUGUCAUGGAGGUGCAAGUACCCACCACGUGUCUACGCAAAGUGCGACUGUUCCUGCCAAAAAGAAAGAGGGGUGGAGAUGGAGAACAUGACUUAUUUGCCAAGGUCCCAGGAUAUCAAAAUUCACAGAUUUUCAAAGAUGCUGCUAGAGUCUUCGAUAGAGUAUGUGGUCCUUUUGAAGUAAAGCCAGGGUAAUGGGAAACACUGAAUUUGCUUUGUUAGAAUCCCCUUGUUUGACUCUUCCAAGGUCCAGCUUUUUCAAAUAAAAUGGCACGCUAACAGCA
rnacentral:lncRNA from 1 species